CGCGGUAAUUUGACCGUGCGAAGGUAGCAUAGUCAGUAGUCUUUUAAUUGAAGGCUUGAAUGAAAGGUUGGACGAGAGAUAGGCUGUCUCCUUUACGAAUAGUUGAAUUUAACUUUUGAGUGAAAAGGCUCAAAUUUUUUGAUGGGACGAUAAGACCCUAUAAAACUUGAUAUAAAUUUGGCUUAAUUUGCGAUUGUUUGUGAAAAGUAGUUUUGCUGUGUUUAUAUUUCGUUGGGGAGAUGUAGAUAUAAUAUGUAACUGUCUGUUUAAUGUAAUAAUUAUAAUUAGUUUGUGAUCCUUCAUUUGUGGAUUAGAAGAAUAAGUUACUUUAGGGAUAACAGCGUGAUUUUCUUUGAGAGUUCUUAUCGACAAGAGUAGUUGCGACCUCGAUGUUGAAUUAAAGUUUCGGCUAGGUGCAGCCGUUUAGCUGGUAGGUCUGUUCG
rnacentral:rRNA from 1 species